AUUGAACGCUGGCGGCAGGCCUAACACAUGCAAGUCGAACGAGUGGCGGACGGGUGAGUAAUGUCUGGGAAACUGCCCGAUAGAGGGGGAUAACUACUGGAAACAGUAGCUAAUACCGCAUACCAUCGGAUGUCCCCAAAUGGGAUUAGCUAGUAGGUGGGGUAACGGCUCACCUAGGCGACGAUCCCUAGCUGGUCUGAGAGGAUGACCAGCCACACUGGAACUGAGACACGGUCCAGACUCCUACGGUCGGCAGCAUGGUGGAAUAUUGCACAAUGGGCGCAAGCCUGAUGCAGCCAUGCCGCGUGUAUGAAGAAGGCCUUCGGGUUGUAAAGUACUUUCAGCGGGGAGGCGUUACCCGCAGAAGAAGCACCGGCUAACUCCGUGCCAGCAGCCGCGGUAAUUC
rnacentral:rRNA from 1 species